UGCUAGUUGCCAGCGGGUCGAUGCCGGGGACUCUAGCGGAACUGCCAGCGUAAGCUGCGAGGAAGGUGGGGAUGACGUCAAAUCAGCACGGCCCUUACGUCCAGGGCUACACACGUGUUACAAUGGCCAGUACAGAGGGCAGCCACCCCGCGAGGGGGCGCUAAUCCUAAAAGCUGGUCCCAGUUCGGAUCGGAGUCUGCAACCCGACUCCGUGAAGCUGGAUUCGCUAGUAAUCGCGCAUCAGCCACGGCGCGGUGAAUACGUUCCCGGGCCUU
rnacentral:rRNA from 1 species